AGGAUCAUUAUCGUAAAAAUCGAGGGUGCGAGGGCUGUCGCUGACCUUUUGGUUGUGCACGCCUGAGUGCUCUCACACAAUCCAUUUCACCCCUUGUGCACCACCGCGUGGGUCCCUCUUUGGCUAGUUCCGAGGGGGGGCUUGCGUUUUCACACAAACUUGUAAUAGUGUAGAAUGUCUUUUUUUUUGCGAUAACACGCAAUCAAUACAACUUUCAACAACGGAUCUCUUGGCUCUCGCAUCGAUGAAGAACGCAGCGAAAUGCGAUACGUAAUGUGAAUUGCANAAUUCAGUGAAUCAUCGAAUCUUUGAACGCACCUUGCGCCCCUUGGCAUUCCGAGGGGCACACCCGUUUGAGUGUCGUGAAAUUCUCAAAACCCUUUUCUUUGGAAAGGAUUUUGGACUUGGAGGCCUUUUGCUGGUUUCGCCUCGAAGCGAGCUCCUCCUAAAUGAAUCAGUGGGGUUUGCUUUGCGGAUCCUUGACGUGAUAAGUCGUUUCUACGUCUUGGAUUUUUUGCACUGUACACCUGCUUCUAACCGUCUCAUUGACAAUGAUGGUGCUCCGGUCACCGCCGAUUCGUCGGUCGGUAGGGCUGGACCCACAAAACGAACCUUGACCU
rnacentral:misc_RNA from 1 species